ACGGGUGAGUAACACGUGGGUAACCUGCCUGUAAGACUGGGAUAACUCCGGGAAACCGGGGCUAAUACCGGAUGGUUGUUUGAACCGCAUGGUUCAAACAUAAAAGGUGGCUUCGGCUACCACUUACAGAUGGACCCGCGGCGCAUUAGCUAGUUGGUGAGGUAACGGCUCACCAAGGCGACGAUGCGUAGCCGACCUGAGAGGGUGAUCGGCCACACUGGGACUGAGACACGGCCCAGACUCCUACGGGAGGCAGCAGUAGGGAAUCUUCCGCAAUGGACGAAAGUCUGACGGAGCAACGCCGCGUGAGUGAUGAAGGUUUUCGGAUCGUAAAGCUCUGUUGUUAGGGAAGAACAAGUACCGUUCGAAUAGGGCGGUACCUUGACGGUACCUAACCAGAAAGCCACGGCUAACUACGUGCCAGCAGCCGCGGUAAUACGUAGGUGGCAAGCGUUGUCCGGAAUUAUUGGGCGUAAAGGGCUCGCAGGCGGUUUCUUAAGUCUGAUGUGAAAGCCCCCGGCUCAACCGGGGAGGGUCAUUGGAAACUGGGGAACUUGAGUGCAGAAGAGGAGAGUGGAAUUCC
rnacentral:rRNA from 1 species